UACGUAGGGGGCAAGCGUUGUCCGGAAUCAUUGGGCGUAAAGAGCGUGUAGGCGGCUCGAUAAGUCCGCUGUGAAAGUCCAGGGCUCAACCCUGGAAUGCCGGUGGAUACUGGCGGGCUCGAAUCCGGAAGAGGAGAGUGGAAUUCCUGGUGUAGCGGUGAAAUGCGCAGAUAUCAGGAGGAACACCAAUGGCGAAGGCAGCUCACUGGGACGGUAUUGACGCUGAGACGCGAAAGCGUGGGGAGCAAACAGG
rnacentral:rRNA from 1 species